rnacentral:rRNA from 1 species
AGAGUUUGAUCAUGGCUCAGAACGAACGCUGGCGGCAUGCCUAACACAUGCAAGUCGAACGAGACCUUCGGGUCUAGUGGCGCACGGGUGCGUAACGCGUGGGAAUCUGCCCUUGGGUGCGGAAUAACUUCUCGAAAGGGAUGCUAAUACCGCAUAAUGUCGUAAGACCAAAGAUUUAUCGCCCAAGGAUGAGCCCGCGUAAGAUUAGCUAGUUGGUGGGGUAAAAGCCUACCAAGGCGACGAUCUUUAGCUGGUCUGAGAGGAUGAUCAGCCACACUGGGACUGAGACACGGCCCAGACUCCUACGGGAGGCAGCAGUGGGGAAUAUUGGACAAUGGGCGAAAGCCUGAUCCAGCAAUGCCGCGUGAGUGAUGAAGGCCCUAGGGUUGUAAAGCUCUUUACCAGGGAUGAUAAUGACAGUACCUGGAGAAUAAGCUCCGGCUAACUCCGUG